UAGGAGGCAGCAGUGGGGAAUAUUGCACAAUGGGCGCAAGCCUGAUGCAGCCAUGCCGCGUGUAUGAAGAAGGCCUUCGGGUUGUAAAGUACUUUCAGCGGGGAGGAAGGGAGUAAAGUUAAUACCUUUGCUCAUUGACGUUACCCGCAGAAGAAGCACCGGCUAACUCCGUGCCAGCAGCCGCGGUAAUACGGAGGGUGCAAGCGUUAAUCGGAAUUACUGGGCGUAAAGCGCACGCAGGCGGUUUGUUAAGUCAGAUGUGAAAUCCCCGGGCUCAACCUGGGAACUGCAUCUGAUACUGGCAAGCUUGAGUCUCGUAGAGGGGGGUAGAAUUCCAGGUGUAGCGGUGAAAUGCGUAGAGAUCUGGAGGAAUACCGGUGGCGAAGGCGGCCCCCUGGACGAAGACUGACGCUCAGGUGCGAAAGCGUGGGGAGCAAACAGGAUUAGAUACCCGUGUAGUCCG
rnacentral:rRNA from 1 species